GAUGAACGCUGGCGGCGUGCCUAAUACAUGCAAGUCGAGCGAACAGACGAGGAGCUUGCUCCUCUGACGUUAGCGGCGGACGGGUGAGUAACACGUGGAUAACCUACCUAUAAGACUGGGAUAACUUCGGGAAACCGGAGCUAAUACCGGAUAAUAUAUUGAACCGCAUGGUUCAAUAGUGAAAGACGGUUUUGCUGUCACUUAUAGAUGGAUCCGCGCCGCAUUAGCUAGUUGGUAAGGUAACGGCUUACCAAGGCAACGAUGCGUAGCCGACCUGAGAGGGUGAUCGGCCACACUGGAAGUGAGACACGGUCCAGACUCCGACGGGAGGCAGCAGUAGGGAAUCUUCCGCAAUGGGCGAAAGCCUGACGGAGCAACGCCGCGUGAGUGAUGAAGGUCUUCGGAUCGUAAAACUCUGUUAUUAGGGAAGAACAAAUGUUUAAGUAACUAUGCACGUCUUGACGGUACCUAAUCAGAAAGCCACGGCUAACUACGUG
rnacentral:rRNA from 1 species